rnacentral:Y_RNA from 1 species
AGCUGGCCCAAGUGCAGUGCUGUUUACAACUAAAUGAUCAUAACCAGUUACAGAUUUCUUUGUUCCUUUCUCCAUUUCCACAGAUUCACUUGACUAGACUUAUU